rnacentral:rRNA from 1 species
UACAGAGGCCUCGAGCGUUAGGCGGAAUCACUGGGCUUAAAGCGUGUGUAGGCGGACUUCUAAGUACCUUGUGAAAUCCCACGGCUUACCCGUGGAACGGCUGGGUAUACUGGUCGUCUUGAGCCAUCUAGGGGCUACCGGAACGAAAUGGUGGAGCGGUGAAAUGCGUAGAUAUCAGGAGGAACACCGGUGGCGAAGGCGGUUCUCUGGGCAUUACCUGACGCUGAGGAGCGAAAGUGUGGGGAGCGAACAGG